CAAAACUUGUUAUCUGUUAUUAGACGACCAUUUUAUUUGUCAAACUUGUUUGUCUGUAAUCCUUUAUUGUAGCACGACAGUAAAUAGACCUUUGCUGGUAACGCCACACUUAUUGAAUGUGCAACGUUUAACUCCAACCCCAGCGAGUAUGAGCGUGCGCUUUGCCCCCGCUCAGCACAGAGUACAGUUUGUUCCCUUUCCCCCGUCUGAAAGCAGCUUUCAUCAGGGCCCCCGGAGUUGGCUGCAGCUCGACUGCUGCGAUCAUCUUACAGACAGAGCGUUGGUGAGGUUGGGGAGGCGGGAGGCGGGGGGUAAGGACAACACACAAACGCAAAGUGCCUUGAAGCAGGAGAGAAACCAGAUGAGGGGAGAAAAAAGAAAAAGAAAAUGGAGAUAUCAAGCUACGGAGGAGGGAAUGUGAAAGAGGAGGGACGAAGACGAAGGGGCCGUCACUGAGGUUGAUGAGGAAUGCAGCUGCAGCUUCUGACAUGUAUGAAAAGCAACAACAGAAAGACCUAGAUCCCCCCUCAAUCACCAAGUGCUUCAGCAGAUGGUUCUGGGUUCAACAACAGCAGAGCAUGGUGGGGGCUCUCCUGGAGCGCGCACACACACCCCAUCUGUUUAUGAAUGGGGCAACCAUCGCCCAUCCCCCGACAGCUACAGCUGACGGAGGAGGGGGCACCACGAGUCACUGAAAGUGAAAAGACGACGGAGAACGAGGCCAUCGGAACGGGGGGAGGUUGACAAGAGAUGGGGACCGUUUGCACAUUUUAUGGUUUGUUCUUCUCUUAGCAGUCACAGGUGGUACUCAAACACCCCACGUAGUCACCAUUAUACAACUUUAAGACUCUAUCCCAUCAGCAUGUUCCUUAGACGCCUCAAAGGAAGCACAGUAAACCUGCUUUAAACAGUCUUUCUUAAUCUAGGUCACCAUGUGCGUUCUGUUAUUGUUCUUUAAUGACUGUUAGAGAUCAUCCCUGGUUAAUCAAGGCAAUAUAAUUCAGUCUUUCCUUGUUUGCCGUAAGGACGACAAACACUUCAACUACUGGGAAUUUAACACUAAGAAAAAAACAUGCCUUUGUGAUAAAAUAUACAUUUUAAUAAUAAUAUGGGUGGUUGACAAAAGUUGCAAUAGAUAGAAAAUAAAUAAUACGAAGUGUUAUUUGCAGCCCUAAACUGCAGGAAACUGUUCAACAUAAACACAUAAUUUUCCUUCCUCAUUGAACAACACGAUCCAGAUGGAAAAGGGCGGCUAUUUUCACCGCUGCAUAACAAUCACCAACUGAUUAACAAGAAUUGCUUAUCGCGUCUCCACUACUAAGAAUAAUGCGGCUUGUUUUUUUUUGGUCCCACCUCGAGAUGAGGAUGGGCUGAGGAGAGAGCAGCAGAAUUAAAUAUCAAACAUCACUAUGGAUGUUGUGAACUGUGAUGGCUUGGAUUCAAGUUAGAGGGAGAAUGUAUUUAAUUUGGCCAUCAAGCGUUUCUGUAACAUAUCGGAUCAUAAGUUCUGUCUGCUACAUUGGGCUACGGUUAAAGCUUCUUCUCAUCUUCCCUUCUGGGAUUCUUGGUGAACUCCUUCCUGCUGGCUGGCUGUCAAAUGAAGCUGAAAGACUUUAAAAUAAAACUAUAUUUGGGUUUCUGAGAAUGUAGGUAUCAGAAAUGUGAGUUUAGGGUGCCGCAUGCAGACACCCUGUGGGAGUGUUUAUUUGUUUUUUCUCACUCCCCAGAAGUGAGUCAAAUUUAAAAGGAGACCCGAGUAUUGAUUGCAUCUGUAGCCACAGCAGACAAACACCCCAAACAUAAACUGAUAAGACACGAGCGUCCACAGAAACGCUCACAAGAGUUAGCCGGUCUGCGGCGGCACAAAGCAAAGGGAGUCGCGUGGCUAAUUUCCAUGUGUAACACCAGAUCAUUUGCAUCAAUUUGCAUUUGCAUGUUCUCACAGAGGAUUAACACUGGCGGCUCAGGUUCAGGGAAGCCAUCACUCAAUUAGCAAAUGACAAAGAGGGUCUCCUCUCUCCUCGACGGCGGAGCUACGAGGUAGAGGACACAGCCAAGUGGGACAUUUCCAGCCUCAAUUCCAGUUCUUUUUUUAAUUCAUGUUAACGAGAAAGGCAGCGUGAUAUAAGUUUUGAUUCAAACAAUUUCUCACCAACAUUUUUGUCUAUAUUCAGGAGCAAAAGAAUGUCUUAAGUGCUCAGAAGUUAACAAUCGAGGACAUGGAUAAUAAACUAAUAAUGUAAUUAUAUUCAGUGAAGGAGGAAUUGCGAAUUGAUUUCUGCACUUUUUUGCAGUAGGUGACAUACAGCAACUCUUCACUGCAUAGGUGUAGAACUAAAACUAUAACAAAAACUAUACCCAUACUUGUAAUUCGGACAUUUUGUUGUACACAUUAAAAGUUAACUGCAUUUGAUUUUAACUGGGAUUAAUGUUUCUAAUUGUCAGCUCCACCUAUUUGCUUGAAAUGUCACUGUCGCCAGCCUCAAAUAUUUCCUGUCUCAUGACCUGCAGGUGUGGCCUUACGACUCGGAGGGCCAAGGGCCAACAACCCCCCCCCACCCUCCCCCCAACCAAUGCAGCAAUAGAGUAGGAAUUUAUAGCAGUGCUGUAUUAAAUUCCCAACACCGUGACAUCAAGUGGGCCAUGACGGCACGGACUGCACAUCGCCACGGCUUCAACUCGGCAGAAAACAGCUGUGAAAACGUCGGAUAUUUUUAGACGGGAUGAAAACAUGUCUGCCUAACAGUCAUUGGGGCAGCGGAGCCCAGCAACCAAAAGUGAAAGUGAAGCCCGCCAGCCGUUGCUUCACCAAAAUCAAAAGGAGAUUUCAACAUUCACAACUGAUCCGUUUUAUGAUUAGAACUGCUUGAUGAGCAAUGAGGCGAACCUGCGAGUAUCCGAGCAGGUGAGUGCAGCGCAACUAAACGGCCUCAGAGGAAAACGCUGGAUCAAGGACGACAUCACCACUGGAGCCACAAUGCUACAAGUUGAUCAACUUUAUGAUACUGUGGUUUUCCUUUUGUUGAAACAUCAAAUACAAUGUGUUAACUUAAGGCCAGAAAGACUUCUUCCAACGAGAAACUCGCUCAAAAGCUGAUUCCUGAUUGAACUGAAAUUAACUAAAGAAACACUACUGUC